AAAUGGGGUAGAGGUGCAGGGAGAAAAAGUAUGCAAAAGGAGCUAGUGGGUAGCCAUGAAUUUUGCAGAAAGGUCAACUUGCCGAAGGAUAUGAGCGUGCCACUGCUCCUAUUUCUGGGUCGUUAUUGAAUAAAUAACGGACUGUCACUGAUAAAAUCAGUGGAGAACUAUUCAAAAA
rnacentral:ncRNA from 2 species